AGUUUUCUGGGAUGCGCGGGAAGUGUGCCGAGACUUUGACCAACGUUUUCUGAUGACCUUAAUCUGUUCGUGUGGUUAUGGUGAGCAAGCCGACUCUCAAGCCGGAAGCCUGAAGUAGCCACCACAGACAAAGCUUGCUGAAGGUCAUAGCCCGGUACCAACCCGUCAUCCUGGAAACCAU
rnacentral:other from 1 species